rnacentral:rRNA from 1 species
UGCAGCAGCCAUAUCACUCUCAAACGCACAACUGGCAUCCCACUGAAGCUCAGCAGGUGUGAGCCUGGUCAGUACUUGGAUGGGAGACCUCCUGGGAAAAAACUAAGGUUGCUCCUGGAA